rnacentral:rRNA from 1 species
UACGGGGGGGGCAAGCGUUGUUCGGAAUUACUGGGCGUAAAGGGCUCGUAGGUGGCCAAUUAAGUCAGACGUGAAAUCCCCAGGCUCAACCUGGGAACUGCGUCUGAUACUGGUUGGCUUGAAUUCGGGAGAGGGAUGCAGAAUUCCAGGUGUAGCGGUGAAAUGCGUAGAUAUCUGGAGGAAUACCGGUGGCGAAGGCGGCAUCCUGGACCAAUAUUGACGCUGAGGAGCGAAAGCCAGGGGAGCAAACGGG